CAUUCCACCGCCGCCGCUCUCACAAAAUCCCAUCCUCCACGAAUCCAAUCUCUACCCCCGUCACAACAGCCUCAACCACAACCAUGGUGUUGCCGGAUAGUGGCGGCGAUGACAUCUCUGCCCCGGUGCGGUUCGAGCUGCCGUGGUUGGCUAUUUUUCUGCUGGACAGUUGCGCCGCCGUUCGUGAUCCCGGACGGAUCUGAGGAGCUCCGCGCCGGAUCCGCUCGUCCCACGUCUUCAUGUGGAGCCCCGGCUGCCCGGACGCUUUCACGACGCCGGCAAGCCCUGCGCCGCCACCCCUCGCGCCCCUCAAAUCGGACGCCAUCUGGAGCUUGUGCACCACCUAUGGAGGAAGGGUAAGGGAGCAGGGGCCACCGUGAGGUCUGGGCAUUGCUGCAGCAGCUGGGGAAGGAGGAAGCACGGGCUUCGAUCUAGCCGAAGCAGCCGGAGGAGAAGGAAGCAAGGGAAGGGAGCUCGUCCUCGAUGCAGCAAUACGAAGACAACAAGGGCUAGGAAAUGGAGUUCUUCACUGACCAAAUCGAAGUCCGUACGCACUCCGGCCUCCUCCAAUCUCUCCUUCUUUCUGUAAUCCCCAUCUCCGUAGGUGAUGUAAUCCUGAAGCUAAAUACAUUCGCAUUAGCUUGGGAUUAGGAAAAAUGCUCAUAUGUGAUACUUCUAGCUUUAUAGCCCAUAGCUUGUUAAUUGAUUGCUAGCUUCUGGUCAUAUUCGAGUAGAAUAGCGUAGCAGCACACGAGUUCUAGGUACUUGAUAUCAAACAACAGUAUAUGAUUUGAUUUAGUAGCGAACAAGCAAUAGUGCACACCCAUAUAUAAGCAGACGGUCAAGGGAGCAGUCAAAGUUGCACAAUGACUACUAGACAGUUGGCCUGGACAGCUGUCGAAGUUGCACAAACACGGCAGCAUAGUUAGGGGCCUUAGGGUUAGUUGUGUAGAAGUUUUCACAGAUUUAGUGUGAAUGUUUUUAGCCAUUUGUGCAACCGGGACAGCUUUCCUUGUGCAACCUGUUAUAUUGAACUCGCCAACUUCAUGUUAAAGAUAGCCAACCUAAGUUUUUGUUUUUGAUGGAUUUUGUUUUGUUUUGGGGUGACAGUUUUUGUGUACAACUAGGCAGCAAAUCAUGUGCAACUUUUAUUUUAAUUCAACUAGCGUAGUCUUUCUGAGGCUGCUAUUUUUUUAGUUGCACAAUGUGGAUGCAAACGGUGUGGAUCACACGGUGAUACAAAGGCAUUUUGUAGCCAAUUUGUUUUGCAACUAGGCAGGUCCAUUAUCCAAGUUGUUUUGAUUGACUUGCCAAUCAAGUAGUAUAAUUUUUUAUGGGACACCCGGAUGGGAAUUCAUGUGCAACUUUCUUUUUAAUUCUUGUGCAACUUGUUAUCUUGAGUUGCCAACUUCACAUUAAGAGUAGCCAACUUCAUAUGUAAAUGUAGCCUACCACACCCCCAUUUUGUCUCCCCCUGUGCAAUUUUGUUAAUUUUGACUACUAUGUUUGUUCUUUUCUGUUUUGCAGAGACAAAAUGGUUGGUGAAGGAGAUGUGCCUGGGUUCUCCAAAUAGGACCUCUUGGCGGGACUCAAAACGGGGUGCUAAGCGAAAUGACUUGCAUCCUUGGGUUUUCCUAGUUGCACAAGAGUACCUGAUUAGUUGGCAUCCUCAGCACUUCUAGUGGCACAAUACCAUCCAACUAGUUGACAUCCUUAGUCUUUUUGUAGCUGCAUUGACACCCUCAACAUUUUCUUCUAGAAGCCUCGAACCUGAAUGUUCAAUUUUUUGAUUGGUCAUGCAAGUGCUGAAUAUUUCUUUUCCCAAGAGUAUCUAAUUAAUUGGCAUCCUUCAGAUUUAUAGUUGCACAAGAGUAUUCAAUUAGUUGGCAUCCUCAGCCUUUCUA